UUCCGGUUGAUCCUGCCGGACCUGACUGCUAUCGGAUUGAUACUAAGCCAUGCGAGUCUUUGUAGUAACACAAGGCAUACGGCUCAGUAACGCGUAGUCAACCUACCCUAUGGACAAGAAUAAUCUCGGGAAACUGAGCAUAAUUCUUGAUAGAUCAUAAUGCCUGGAAUGGUUUAUGGUUAAAAUGAUUCGUCGCCAUAGGAUGGGACUGCGGCCUAUCAGCUUGUUGGUGAGGUAAUGGCCCACCAAGGCGAUUACAGGUACGGGCUCUGAGAGGAGAAGCCCGGAGAUGGGUACUGAGACAAGGACCCAGGCCCUAUGGGGCGCAGCAGGCGAGAAAACUUUGCAAUGUGCGAAAGCACGACAAGGUUAGUCCGAGUGAUUUCUGCUAAAGAGAUCUUUUGCUAGUUAUAAAACCACUAGUGAAUAAGGGGUGGGCAAGUUCUGGUGUCAGCCGCCGCGGUAAAACCAGCACCUCAAGUGGUCAGGAGGAUUAUUGGGCCUAAAGCAUCCGUAGCCGGCUCUGUAAGUUUUCGGUUAAAUCCAUGUGCUCAACACAUGGGCUGUCGGAAAUACUGCAUAGCUAGGGAGUGGGAGAGGUAGACGGUACUCGGUAGGAAGGGGUAAAAUCCUUUGAUCUAUCGAUGACCACCUGUGGCGAAGGCGGUCUACCAGAACACGUUCGACGGUGAGGGAUGAAAGCUGGGGGAGCAAACCGGAUUAGAUACCCGGGUAGUCCCAGCUGUAAACGAUGCAGACUCGAUGAUGCAUUGGCAUAUAGCCAGUGCAGUGUCGCAGGGAAGCCGUUAAGUCUGCCGCCUGGGAAGUACGUACGCAAGUAUGAAACUUAAAGGAAUUGGCGGGGGAGCACCACAAGGGGUGAAGCCUGCGGUUCAAUUGGAGUCAACGCCGGG
rnacentral:rRNA from 1 species